UGGGCGUCGCGGGACCAGAGAUGGUCUUUCAGUUUCGGCUGGACGCCACACAGGUGCUGCAUGGCCUGUCGUCAGCUCGUGUCGUGAGAUGUUCGGUUAAGUCCGGCAACGAGCGCAACCCACGUCCUUAGUUGCCAGCAUUCAGUUGGGCACUCUAGGGAAACUGCCGAUGAUAAGUCGGAGGAAGGUGUGGAUGACGUCAAGUCCUCAUGGCCCUUACGGGUUGGGCUACACACGUGCUACAAUGGUGGUGACAAUGGGUUAAUCCCCAAAAGCCAUCUCAGUUCGGAUUGGGGUCUGCAACUCGACCCCAUGAAGUCGGAAUCGCUAGUAAUCGCGUAACUAGCAUGACGCGGUGAAUACGUUCCCGGGCCUU
rnacentral:rRNA from 1 species